GACGAACGCUGGCGGCGUGCUUAACACAUGCAAGUCGAACGGAAAGGCCCUGCUUUUGUGGGGUGCUCGAGUGGCGAACGGGUGAGUAACACGUGAGUAACCUGCCCUUGACUUUGGGAUAACUUCAGGAAACUGGGGCUAAUACCGGAUAGGAGCUCCUGCUGCAUGGUGGGGGUUGGAAAGUUUCGGCGGUUGGGGAUGGACUCGCGGCUUAUCAGCUUGUUGGUGGGGUAGUGGCUUACCAAGGCUUUGACGGGUAGCCGGCCUGAGAGGGUGACCGGCCACAUUGGGACUGAGAUACGGCCCAGACUCCUACGGGAGGCAGCAGUGGGGAAUAUUGCACAAUGGGCGGAAGUCUGAUGCAGCAACGCCGCGUGCGGGAUGACGGCCUUCGGGCUGUAAACCGCUUUCGCCUGUGACGAAGCGUGAGUGACGGUAAUGGGUAAAGAAGCACCGGCUAACUACGUG
rnacentral:rRNA from 1 species